rnacentral:tRNA from 1 species
GCCGGGAUAGCUCAGUGGUAGAGCAACGGUUUCGUAAACCGUAGGCCGUGGGUUCAAUCCCCACUCCCGGCU